CGUGGAAACGCACAUUGUCGUAAUCAUUUUACCGCAAUACGACAUUAUUUGUGUUGUUGACAAAGCAACGCUAUCAACCGAACUCCGCUCAGAAUCGUUUUUCGUUAACAACGGUUAAUCUUUGCGUACAGAUUUACAUACAAAUUUUCCCUCUGUGUUCUCAACUUCUCACCUACAAUAGCAGUGGCCCAACUAUCGUGCGCGCCCAUGUCCGUAUCGUUUUUUUU